rnacentral:lncRNA from 1 species
CCGACUUCCCUUCGUCUGUUUGAGAGUAUCCGCAAAAGAUCGACUGGAUUGCUGUGCUUUAGAUUGACCAUUCCCGUCGAACUGUUCCAGUGGCGGCAUAGCCGAGGUCGGCCCCCCAAGCCGAAGAGCAGGCACCUUCGGAGCAGACGGGACGGCCAUCGCAGGGUUUGGUUGAGUAGUAAAAGAUUGAGGCUGCUUAGGAAAAUUGUUAGAGACGACCGGCAGAUUGAGCGCCCCUCUGUCGCCCGGUGAACUGAGUCCACCGAAAGCCAA